GAUGAAGAACGCAGCGAAAUGCGAUACGUAAUGUGAAUUGCAGAAUUCAGUGAAUCAUCGAAUCUUUGAACGCAUAUUGCGCUCUCUGGUAUUCCGGAGAGCAUGCUUGUUUGAGUAUCAGUAAACACCUCAACUUCCAUAUCUUUUUUGAAAUGGGAGUUGGACNUGAGUGAUCCCAACGCUUUUCCUCACCGAAAAGUGGCGGGUUACUUGAAAUGCAGGUGCAGCUGGACUUUUCUCUGAGCUAUAAGCAUAUCUAUUUAGUCUGCCUAAAAAACAGAUUAUUACCUUUGCUGCAGCUAACAUAAAGGAGAUUAGUUCUUGUGCUGACUGAUGCAGGAUUCACAAAGACAGGCUUCGGCCGACUUUGUAAACUCGAUCUCAAAUCAAGUAAGACUACCCGCUGAACUUAAGCAUAUCAAUAAGCGGAGGA
rnacentral:misc_RNA from 1 species